GACUGUUUCUGCUUCCACUUCACGUCCUCUUUCUUCCCAGCCACAACCUGUGAAUAUUUCCCCCAUGGCAUUGUGUCUGAUAAAGAAAAAAGAUGGAAAAAGGAAAAAGGAAGACAGAUUGGUUUUCCCAUUUCCUGCCUAUCCUCUACUGGAUCCACACAGUCUAGAUUCUGCCAGUACCUCACUCCUUGCAUUCCCAGCUCCCAGCUCAGGCCAGUUGGGCCCAGCCAGAGGCUUCAUCGGCAUUGAAAUGAGUGGACUCAGCAAAUGGGAUCCCUCCCUGUUUGUCAUUCUUUGUGAGUGUUUCUGCUUCUCAAAUAAAUAGUUUUUGAGAAUACCUCA